rnacentral:rRNA from 1 species
GUGGAUUAGAUACCCUGGUAGUCCACGCUGUAAACGGUGCGCAUUAGGUCUCGGAGCUUUCGAACGCUCCGGGGCUCAAGCUAACGCAUUAAAUGCGCCGCCUGAGGACUACGGCCGCAAGGCUAAAACUCAAAGGAAUUGACGGGGGCCCGCACAAGCGGUGGAGCAUGUGGCUUAAUUCGAUGCAACGCGAAGAACCUUACCUGGGUUUGACAUGGACGUGGUAGCCGGGGCGAAAGCCUUGGCGACCCGCAAGGGAGCGUUCACAGGUGCUGCAUGGUUGUCGACAACU